AUUGUAAAAGUAAAAUACUGGAACACUAAUAGCACUUUUUUUUGCAGUUUGGUUUUGGUUUGAAUGUGCUGAUAGCUGCUUUAGCAUUUCCCCAAAAUGUGACCCCAUGUUUAAGGACCGCCUCCAUAAGCCCCAUAAGGUGCCCUGUAGACCACAUUUAAUGCACAAAUAGCCAACCAAUUUGCUCAUUUGCCUAAGCUGGAGGAAGUGUGUGAUAUUCAAAUUUUGACUCUGUACUGUAGGAUCGUUGUAAUAAGACGAUCCUUUUGUUGGGUAUACAAAUGGUCCCUAACCCAAGGGAUUGACCCUGCCUUCCUACCAACAACAGAAUCCAAGGCCCUUUAAUAUCAGCAACUGUGCUAAUUAUUAACACGCAAUCUCAUAUAUCUUCCAUGUCUAGUAACCCUGUUAUUGUAUAUGACAAUGCUCUAUAAAAUACUCUUGUCUUUCAACGUUCAUGAAAUAAUAGGGCAAUAUGUCACACCUGAAACUGAACAUGGAAAUAAGCCUUACAUUGUCAGCUGCCUUUCAUCUGAGCCCUUUGGCAUCAUCUGCACUCAGGAACAUUGAUCAACCAGCUAUCAUUCAAAAGUGAAAGACUGCUUAUAAACAGCCAAGAGACCAUGAUGCUGAUGCAUUAUGAAUAGACUUGAAACAAAACAAUAAUGAUGGAGUGAAUAAGGGAGAUGAUUUCAUCUGUCCAAGAAACAUAAAUGAAUAUUAAAUCAUGUACCAACAGGUACUGCUCUGUUGAAUCUGGACUACUAUGUGGAAGUAACAGAACAAAUUUGCUACUGAUUAUACAUUUUACAGGCACUGAAUCCAUGUGGAGCUGGAUCAGAAGCAAAAUGCCACUGUCAGUUUUCUUAUAGAUUGGUAAUAGCACAGUGUUAUUGUUUUAUGUAUUUUCUAUAAUCAUAAAGCAGUUUAAAAUUUAUAUACUGUAUUUAAUGCAUGUGUAGUAUUUUUUAAUUGUAAGAACUGUGUAAAAAUAAAUAUUUUG